rnacentral:lncRNA from 1 species
CCAACAAACCCAACAAGUCCAACAAACCCAACAAGUCCAACAAACCAAACAAACCCAACAAGUCAAACAAAACCGACAAGUCAAACAAACCCAACAAACCAAACAAGUCAAACAAAUCCAACAAGUCAAACAAACCCAACAAGUCAAACAAAACCAACAAACCAAACAAGUCAAACAAAUCCAACAAGUCAAACAAAACCAACAAGUCCACCAAACCCAACAAGUCAAACAAAACCAACAAGUCAAACAAAACCAACAAACCCAAC